UUGGGGAAAACUUCACGUUCUUGCAGCAGUUGGCAACAUCUUUUGCUUAAUUCCUGCACUGUCAAGUCAGACUGACUUCCUUUUAGUUACAGCAUUUUACCCCCUUUAUUUCGUUGACAGACAAAACCUCUUUGCUUUCUUUUUUAAGACAGCCUUUUUCAUUUAGGAAUGGAAGGAGGGCAAUGUGUUUAUAUUGUUAAGGAAAAAACCGAGGAGGUGUUACUGAAGAUACAGAGCUGUGUGUGGAAGCUUUUUACAAGGAAGAAAUGGAACACCCACAUUACCAAGGACUUGUCCUGGGAACUGUGCUAAGAGCUGGUUAAUGGGAUAAUGCUGAAAACAAUGAACCUGCAAAUUUGGCCACAUCUGUCUACUGGAUUUUCUCAAACUCUGAACAAGCAGUAGGAGGGACUUCUAGUUUCACCCCUUAUCUUGGCUCUUUUGACCUACACCUUUGAGGGAUCUGGCUCAGAACAGAAAGGAUGACUGCCAGACAGAUACCGGAGAGGAGGAGGAGAGCAGCGAUGGCUUGUAUCAUAACAGUAGCUUGAAUUUAUAGUACAGUGUUUGGCAACUCAUAAAAUUCUUUCACGUACAUAAUCUAAUAUCUUAAAAUCCCAGAACUUGAGCUGCAAAGGAACCUUGGGUAUCAUUUAAUCCAAAGUUUCUGAACUUCAUUCCCUACUGCCAUUUUGGGUGUGAUAAUUCUUUGUUUUGGGGGGCUGUCCUGUGCACUGUAGGAUGUUUCAUAGCAUCUCUGCCCUCUACCCUCUACAUGCCCACACCCCCUCCAUGCGUGACAACCGAAACUGUCUCCUGGGGGGCAGAAUUGCUCCCUGUUGAGAAUUACUGAUCGAGUCUAUCUUGGAGUUUUAAACAGAUUAUACACUUACCCAUGGGAGGUACUAAUUAAAUAGUAGCACCUCCACACCCAGCAUGGCCUUGAUGUCUUGAUCUGGCUCUUCCUGUCAAGGCUGUCAAGACUGAGAACUGCGCAACAUUUUUCAAAGGUCCAAGGUAGUGUUUUUUUGUUACCAAACUACUCAUUUAAUUUGGUGGAAAACCUAUCAAUUUUAUUUUUCAACACAAAGAACUACCACCAUAAAGCUCUAUCACACUGAUUCUGUCGUCAAACUGAUUUGUCAUCCAGCAAACUGACAGGCCUGGGUCACACAAAUACCACUUUUGCAGUCAGGCUAAGGAUCUGCCAAGCUAUAGAAAUGCCUCAUUAAAUUCAGACCCCUCUGCUUCGUGGACAUGUGAAAACCGCUGACAAUCCGGUUUUUAAGACUUAGACCUUUCUCUGGUGUCACUGCUCGUUUCUAAUUAUGUAGAAAGCUUCACUGAAGAUUCAGAGUUGUGGGCUUCCCUGGUGGCGCAGUGGUUGAGAGUCCGCCCGCCGACGCAGGGGACGCGGGUUCGUGCCCCGGUCCGGGAAGAUCCCACAUGCCGCGGAGCGGCUGGGCCCGUGAGCCAUGGCCGCUGAGCCUGUGCUCCGCAACGGGAGAGGCCACAACAGUGAGAGUCCCGCGUACCAAAAAAAAAAAAAGAUUCAGAGUUGUGGGCUGCCCUGGUGGCGCAGUGGUUAAGAAUCCACCUGCCAAUGCAGGGGACACGGGUUUGAGCCCAGGUCCGGGAGGAUCCCACAUGCCGCGGAGCAACUAAGCCCGUGUGCCACAACUACUGAGCCCACGUGCCACAACUACUGAAGCCCGCGUGCCUAGAGCCCGUGUUCUGCAGUAAGAGAAGACACUGCAAUGAGGAACCUGCGCACCACAACGAAGAGCAGCCCCCGCUCGCUGCAACUAGAGAAAGCCCACGCACAGCAACGAAGACCCAACCUGGCCAAAAAUAAAUAAAUUAAAAAAAAAAAAAGAUUCAGAGUUGUUUUUUUUAAAGACACACUAUGAACAAUCACUGUAAAUGUGCUCCUGGAACACAGUCAAUUUACUGAUACUAAAAUCAACCUCUGUACCCCUUAGGCAGAAGGCAAUGAACUGAUGAAAUAGAUGAUCAAACAAUAUUUGUGUAUGUGUUCAUUCAUUCAAUCAAACACUUGCUGAUUGAAGUGACUGAACACUUGCUGUAUGCCAGGCCAUGCUAGGUGCUUGGCGAUACAGUGGUGACUACUGCACAGUCCUUAGGGUUCCUAGUCUAGCAAGGGUGGACAAAGAAGGAGGGAGAGGAGGGAGAGCAGAGCAAACAUCCUGAGCAAAGAUGGGCAGCCACUUAAGAUUUAACCCUAGGAGGACACAUAUGUUCUUUCAAUUAACAUUUUAUUGAGUGCCAAAGGUAUGACAGUGCCUUCAUAAAGUAUACAAGCAACAAUGAACCAUGGGUCAAAACAGAACCCAAGGAGUGACCCAGCUAUAACAGGUGGACAAGGACUGAAAAUCUGCGCAUCUGGUUUAAUUACAUUUAGAGACAGAUGGAAAUUCUGCAAGGUGAAGCUCCCCUUAUCCUCCUACACUUAAAGUUACAUUAUCAUAUAUCGCAUUACUGCGAACAUAAUACCCGAUGAUGUCGUAGUGGAAUGAAUUAAUUAAAAUCAUGAAAAUCAAAAUCAAUUUUACUGAGCAUCUUUAUAAGCCAAACACUCUGCUGACUGCCAUCAUUUAGCACAGUGAGAUGAUUUCAGGCAUGUCUAGCAUUUCUGGAAAUGUGGCUGGAGAGUGUAUUUUACUUACAUGCUACGAAGAGGGUGGCAUAAAAGACAAUAGAUGACUUAAAUGCAAUCCUCCCUGGAGGGAAGGAGAUGGGCCACAAAUAAUCAAAGAAUUUCCGUAACGUAUGGUUUAAAAACUCUUGAGUUAAUGAUAGCUACGAUUUUUGAGCAAUUAUUAUGUGCAUAAGUCACCUUAAGGAAGUUAUUUGAUUUUUUGUGACAUCCCUAUGAGAUGAAGUUUAAAAUGCAGGCUCUAGAGCAGGGGAUCAGCAAACUACAGCCAGAGAGCCAAAUUCAACCCUGUGGCUGUUCUUAUAAAGUUUUGUUGGAAUGUAGCCAUGCCCAUUUGUUUACAUAUUGUUUACAGCUGCUUUCAUGCUACAAUGGCAGAGUUGAACUGCUGCAGCAGAGACUAGUGUGGUCCACGAAACCUAAAAUAUUUACUGUCUGGCGCUUUAUAGAAGAAAACCUGGUCUAGGGUCAGAUUUCCUGGGUUUGAGCCCUAGUUCUUUAACUAUGGAGCUGUAUGACAUUGGUUAAGUUAUUUAAAGUCUUCGUUCCGCACCACCCUCAUCUGCAAAAUGAAACUGGUGGUAAUAAUAAUCACUAUUUCAGGGCGUCACUGUGAGGAAUAAAUUACACAAUAUAUACCAAGUGCUUAGAACAAAACCAAGUAUAUACUAAGGGUUUGAUAAAUGUUGGCUAUUAUUGCCUCCUUUUUAAAGAUCAGGAGCUCGAGGCUCAGAGCAAUCAAAUAACUUACCCAAGACCACUCAGAAUUGAAAUUUAGCUGAUGACAAAGUCCAAGCUCUUUCUACCAUGGUACUCUGCCUUUGCUAUUUUCUUAGUAAUAGGAGAGUUAGGGAUAGCCAGUGUUAACAGAAUAAAAACAAUAUCAAGGAGAGAUGGACAUUGGUUAACAGAGUUGAAGGGAAACUCAAGCACAGAUCCACAGCAAAAUUGUUGGAAAACCAUUCCUUUCUACCAAAUGCCUCACUGCACCUCCCACCCUCCCCACUCCUCUUCAGAGAGUUCUACAAACUGUUCCAUAGCCUAUUUCUGGCCCUUUAUAAAGUAGUUAAUAGGUUCAAAUGAUAAUUUUUAGACUUAAAACAAUCUAUUGAAUUAAAUUCUUAAAUGGAAAUGUUUAGGGACUAGAAUUCACAUAAUCCAAAUGUUUUAAGUGAGAAUAUGGGACCACGAUGUGGCAGUGGGAUGGGCUUACCCAACCCAGGCUCUGGAAUCAGACUGCCUGGCUUAUACCCUGGCUCCACCGCUUGAGAAACAAGUGUCAUCACACCAGUCACUUUAAUCUUUGUGCGCCUCAGUUGCACCAUCUAUAAAAUGGUAAUAAUAUACCUCACGCUGUUGUGAAGAUUAAAUGAUAAUGCAUAUACAGCACUUAGAAAAGUACUGGGCUAUAUUAAAUGCUCAAAUUGACUACAUUUUAUAUUUUCAUAUCCUAUAUAAUUUUUAAAUUAUUAUUAUUUCAGUUGGGCAAAAUAGCAGACGUUUUUCAAGGAUGUUCUCUUGGGAGAGAACUAUAUAGCCACAGCUUAGAAUCACGAAUUGUCUGCUUGACAAUUUAAUUUUAAAAGCUAAAGAAUCUGAGGGAAUUUACUCCCAGAGUUUUGUGGAUAAACUGGAAGGGAACUUCUAUAGCUAUUAUGUUCUAUAUUUAUAUAGGAAAAUGCUUUAAGACAUUGUAAAUGUGAAAUGUUAUAAUGAUGCAUUUUUAAAGCUAAUGAUUAUGCAAAAAGCAAGCACUAUGUUCUUUUUGAUAUUUGUUCAAUUGUCCCUUAUAUUCUUUUUAUCACUACUUAGUAUACCUACACUAAUGCUUUGUGUCUACCCAUUGAAUGUAGCAGUAAAUAUUGUUUAUUAACUAUGAUAUAUUCAAAUUACCACUGCAAGUUUAAGAAAGUUACCUGGGAAUAAUAUUCACAGAAAAACUUUAUGUGCCAGCAUUGGAAUAUAUGAACCGGUAGUUUGAUGAAUGGUUAUUUUUAUUAUAAAAAUAUUCUUUAAUUUGCAAAGGGAUUUAUAAUAGAGUUCCUUUAGAUAGGAAGUCCCCUAUGUCAUCUAGAAUAUGAUUCAAGUUAUUACAAAAUCGAUCUCUCUCUCUAUAUAUAUAUCUUUCCUGUAUAUACCUUCCCUAUACUGAUAUAUACCUACAAACUAUGCCAAAGUAUCAGUCCCAUUUGCUUGAUGGAGAAACUGGAUGAUCAUGUGCUUAAGCUCAAGAUCACAAUUACACAGUGAUAAAAUUGGAAUUAUAAUUUAAUAAAGGAACCUUAUCUUUGGGAUGAUAGUCUCUAGUUUAACUUCUGUUUGACAAUAGAGUCCAUUUAUAUUCAAGACAAAAUCUGGGCAGUCCAAAUAGAGUAGAGAUCCAGAUAUCUAUAGCUUUUUAAAAAUUCUAAAAUUUGUGUGUAAAGAAUAUUUUUCAUUUUGCUUAGUUUCUUGAAUUUAUGCCAAAACAGAUUUAGAAAGUGAACUUUCCCAAACAUAAGCUUACACAGUCUUUAUGAUGAUGUGUAAAUGCUCUUCCUUUCCUCCAAUUUCAAACUAUAUUUGCAAGUUAUAUAGUAAUAAUAUGGUCUAUUAUUACUCUGCCAUAUUAUACAUGAGUACAUGCUCUAUGGGAUAUGUUCUUAUAUUACCUUCUGGUGGUAUGUCAAAUAGUAGUCUAUAAGAAUAUCAUAGGUCUCUUUGUAAGAAAAAUGACAAAUUGUUCUGAAACAAAGACUCUGAAAUAGAGUGACAUAGUCAAACAUUAGCUUCAGUUUUAGGUGUGACCUUCUGAUUUUGUUUGGUUAACAUUAGUCAUUUCAGUUCUGACUAUGAAAAAAUAUCUGCUACCACAGAAAAAAACCAGAUCCUGUUUAAUGUUGAUGUCCUUGUAUUUCAUUGCCAAGUAUCCCAAGGCAAUAGUUACAGUGAAAUAGCAUUUGGCCAGAAAUACUCUCAAUGCUGAAUAAGCCAUGGGUUACUUUCUUCUACAAAUGUUUAAGUUGAAUGCGGGUUAUUUUUGAAAUUAAAAAUAUUUUUAAAUACCACAACAAUACGACUAUAAUAGGCUCUUUGUGAGAAAAAAAAUAUAAAAGAAAGUAAACUUUAUAGUGGGAGGCAAAGACGAUAUGCAUGAAAAUGCAACUUUAAACUAACCCCCAAAUUAUAUUUUUUUAUUCAUUAAAUGUUUAAAUAUUACUCUCCCUUUACUACCUUUGGUCUUCCUCUGGUGAUAUUUGGUUUAUUAUUAUUUUGCAUACAGUGAGAAACGAAAAUGAUAGUUUAAAGAACAGGUCCUUCUAGCAAAAGUAUGGCUAAAGUUAAACCCUAAUACUCAGUAGCUUAAUUCUUAUUAUAAAAACUUGGACUCUAUUAGAAAUGGGGCCAUCGGAGAGAGGUCCCUUUAUAACAGAAAAAGUCAAAUUCACUUUCUAUUAUGAAGUGAUUUUAGACAUUUUAGGCUAUUUCCACUUUCUUCUACACUGUUUGAAAUGUAUUAGAAAAAUUAAAAGAAUAUGGUUUAUCUCAUUAGGUAUAAUUGAAGCUUUUCAAAGGCAGGGACCUUUAUUUUGGUAUCCCCAGUGCCUAGCACUGAAUGAAAAAAUAUUUCAAUAAAGGAAAAAAUUAAUGAAAGAACCAGUGAAUGAGCACUGCCUUUUAUAAGAAACAUGGUA